AGCUGAAAUCUUUCUUUUGACAGAAAAUCUUGUGUUCUCGGAGAGGGAUGAYGAAUAUUGAAAGGCCCAUACUUGAACUGAUAUCCUUAGGUAGGUGAUGUUUGAGGUCUGACUGGUUUUGCUUGGAAUGGAGAUAGCUAAAUGUGUGCUUACCUUUGGAAAAGAGUGGCCAUUCCAUUUAGAAAGAAGCAUAGGACUGUGUCUAUUUGCUUCAGUGAUAAUUACUAUUGAGUUUAUUUUUAAAAAAUCCACCACCUUUGCAUAAUUCUCUGCAUCUCAUGCUCUAGCCACUGGAAUAAAACCAAAUAAAUCUAAUGGACAGUAUUCCUUUAGUGUCAUGUCUUCAGCCCCUAGUAGAGAUUGCUGUCUGUUGUGCAUACACACACUGCAAUUUCUAUUUGGUUUAUUUUUAAGCAUAGAUCUCAGAUUGCAUAUAAAUAUAUCAGGGUAUGUUUACAGUGUUAAAUAAUUAAAGAAAUCAGAGGAGUUUCAGAAAUGUGUAUUGAGGUAAUGUUCUGCAACACAUAUAUAUUUGUUGUUUUGCUUGUGAAGAAAAUAAUUUUGGAUAAAGAAGGUGUUUUUUCCUUCAGAUUGAUGAAUAAGGGAGAAAGGGUGAAAAAAAAAGCAAAAUAUACUUCAUUUUGGUCAUUGUCCAUUUGAGCACUUGUCKGUUUCCUCCAGUCACAGUGCUGUGCACAUCAAUUUGAUGUUUAUAUUUUCCCAAAGCAUGGAUGUAACAUCACUGUAGCAUUUUUUUAACAUGGACUGUUUCAGGGGAAGAGAGGAUCUCCUGUAACAUCCAGCCCCCAAAAUACCAAGAAUUUUGCAGAGCAGAUCCUUCAGGAUGAUGGCCUUAAAUAUAGGAGACCUUUCAAUUGAGAAAGCAUUGAUGGUUGUCAAAAAGCAGCUUUCUUCCCUGGGACCAUAGGGUCACAGUGCUGUUGCACCCUGCACAGGAAGAUUUUUUCUUUCUCUUCAAUGUUUGGGAUUUUUUUUUCCCUGACUCUUCUCAGAGGCUUAUUCUUACAGUUUACAAGUCCCUGUGAGUCACAGCUUGCAUCCACAGGAGAAAAGCAAAAAUAUACAUACUUYUCAAGUUCUAAACCUCGUUCUUCAUUCAGGCAUCUCAGGAGAGCCGGCAGGUCAUUCGGAGAACAGUGAGUGUCUGUUUSAUACUGUUACAUAAACAUCCAGGCUUUCUCUAAAGUGCCUCCUUCGUGUAACACAUCUGACUCUCCUGGACAGCUUCAAAGCUCUUUAAUACUGGAGAGGUUCUCUGGGAGCAAAUGAUGCAUUGCAUUUACACCUUUUUCUCACUUUCCAGGAGAUUUACAGAUACUCCUGAACUUGAUGCUCCAGCCUCUUGGUGAGGCAAACACAAUAAGAAGGUCUUGGCCCUGCAGCUGCAGACAAGAGAGCUGAGAAUCAAGGGAAGCCUUUGGUGAGCACUACAUGGGCAGAGAGUUGAGGAACUGAUGAAACCUGGUCAGCUUAAUGUGMUUCUUCCUGAUGACUUCAAUAGACAGCAGACAGAUCCAAGAUCUGUGCUGAGCUGACUUCCAUGUGUUUUAACACACAAUUCCACCUCCUCUCUCAAGGCUUUGCUUCACUCAGCUUUCUUACUUGCUGACAUGCCGAUGUGUACUGUUCUUCUUUCUAAUCUCUUGCAAGAAAGAGCUUCUUUCCUUCCCCACACUUUAGAAAGGUAACACSUUUGGCUAGAGCACUUAUUUGCAGGCAUCGCUAAAAAGUAAUUGCGUAAGGAGAAAUUUUGCCUUGGCCAGCAUGGUUAAUAGCUCAGCUUACUUAGUAAGCAAGCUUGGUGRAUGUACUCCUCCCUCCCCACCCUCCUUCUCCUCCCAGGGGCAGGGCCCCAGUUCCAAGUCUCUCCCAUGGUAGCCAGCAAAGUUCAGCUUCUCUCUCAAAGCAGAAAGUAAACCAAUGAGGGGACUGUGACUGGCUGCAGAAUGGUCAACAGGAAUGCUGCUCUUUUGUUCCAAAUGGAACAAAAUCUAAUCAGGCUGUUUAUAUUUACAGCUUUCCCACUCACCCCUACUGAGCAUAAAGCUUGCCUCUGAACACAGAGUCUGAGCACUGUUGUGUGUUAGACAGGGUGCAUGUAGUAUCUGUUUGCCAACUGAAGACACUCGGAGGCUGUAGAUUCACUUUUCCUACCUGUACAAAGGCACACAUCCGCACUUAGCAAAUGCAUAAUAAUUAGUGAUGCUCUGGCAAAGUUCAUGAGCCAACUCCCUGCUCACAAGUGCCUUUAAUCUCAAUUUGGGACUUGCAAGAGAACUGCAUGGAUGUGYUGGAGUGAUGCUUGCAUACCAGACAUUCCUAAUCAUAAAGAUGAAGAGGGAUGAGAGCUUUCUGGGUAGGGGGAAUAAUGGCAGGGUUGUCCUUUCCUGCAGUUCACUGGGGCCUGCCUACUGAUUUAAAUUGUAAAUAAUGUUACAAACCAGCUGUAGAAGUUUGGUUUUUUUCUUAAGCAAAGCAUCCAAUUUCUACUAAAAUAUGGACAGGAAAAAAAGGGGAAAAUCUCAGUUUAACAUCAAUCCCUUUUCAUAACUUAAUAGUUAUAUUAACCACAGAUAGGUGAUGUCAGUUCAGGACCUUGUGA